UUCCGUGCAUAAGAAGCCGAAUGAGGAAGACAAACAUAAAGAUGAAGUGCUUAAUUCAAGGUCACACAAUGUCGGGGAUGGACCUCCAGAUUUCCUUACUGGUGAGACGUGGUCUUGUAACACAGUGGUUAAGAAUGUGACUUUGGAGCCAGCCUGCUAGGGGCUGAAUUCUGACUCAGCCAUUUACUAACUGUGUGACCUUAGGUCACAGAAUUUUCCACACUCCUUGACAGAGGUGCUUAACCCUUAUCCAUCAGCAUUCUCAGACAGCACCUCCGGUUAGGGACAGUAUCUGACCGUCCGACAUCCCUGCAGCCCCCAUGUGUCACACAGACUCAGCCUCAGGUAGAUGGUUUCCGUAGAUGGUGGCUUUCUUUGGACCCUUGACAUCAACCAGUUACUAUUUGACUCUUCUGCAGAACCCCAUGUUGACCCCUGCUUUGAGGUGGCAGAGUUAACACUACUCUUCGUUAUAAGCUCUCGUCUGGGGCAACUCAGAAGAACGGGACCAGAUGUGCAGAGGUAAUGAAUACCAGGGAAUCAGGAAACCACUGGAUCAGUUCUUUGAGCCACAGAACAACACUCAUCCCAGCAGCUGGGAAGCUAUCUGCAAAAGUCCAUCUGCAGAAAGGGCUUCCUGGUCUUGCGUGUGGCUGGGCCAUUUCUCUGGAUGCAGGUUUUUCAUUAUACAGUCUUCUCAAAGAACCACCUGCUCUCAACACC
rnacentral:lncRNA from 10 species